ensembl:lncRNA
AAAGGAGCCAUCACUUGUAGAUGUGCUUACCAUGUGCCAGGCAUCAUUCUAAACUUCCUGUGUAUAUUAUCUCAUUUAAACCUAGUGGAAAAUUCUGUUGUUUUCCAGAUGAAGAAACUGGGGCACAAGGAGGUAAACUAACUUGCUGAAGGCCAUACAAGUUGUGGCAGAGCUAAAUCCAAGUUUGGUUUGCAAUUUCAUGCUGUUAACCACUACACUCUACCAUAAUAACAGGAAUGCUUGACUACGCAAUUGGUGGCACUGGAAUGAGGGGCUUAAAGAUACUCAUGUAUGGACGUGAGAGUUAGACCAUAAAGAUGGCUGAGCACCUAUGAAUUGAUGCUUUUAAACUGUGGUCCUGGAGAAGACUCUUGAGAGUCCCUUAAACUGCAAGAUCAAACCAGUCAAUCCUAAAGGAAAUCAAUCCUGAAUAUUCACUGGAGGGUCUGAUGCUGAAGCUCCAGUACUUUGCCCACCUGAUGCGAAGAGUUGACUCAUUUGAAAAGACCAUGAUGCUGGGAAAGAUUGAAAGCAAGAGAAGGGGAUAACAGAGAAUGAGAGGGUUAGAUAACAUCACCAACUCAAUGAACAUGAAUUCAACCAAAUUCCAGAAGAUAGUGAAGGAGAGAGGAGCCUGGUGUGCUGCAGUCCAUGGGGUCACAAAGAGUCAGACAUGACUGACUGAACAACAACAAUGAGUGCCUGAGUAUCCUGUAAGCCAGGAUAUGUAGGGCUUGUAAUAAAGUGGUUGCCCAAAAAAAAGAAAACAACAACAACAAAAAAAACAGUACUUAAUAGUACAGAUGUUCAAGCUGGUUUUAGAAAAGGCAGAGGAACCAGAGAUCAAAUUGCCAACAUCCACUGGAUCAUGGAAAAUGCAAGA